GACGAACGCUGGCGGCGUGCUUAACACAUGCAAGUCGAACGAAGUGGCGCACGGGUGAGUAAUACGUGGGUAACCUGCCCUCCUUUUUGGGAUAAGCCUUGGAAACGGGGUCUAAUACCGAAUAUAGGGGGAUGGGCUCGCGGCCUAUCGGCUUGUUGGUGGGGUGAUGGCCUACCAAGGCGGUGACGGGUAGGCGGCCUGAGAGGGUGACCUGCGACAUUGGGACUGAGAUACGGCCCAGGGUGCUAAGGGGGGCAGAAUUGGGGGAUAUUGGACAAAGGGUGAAAGCGUGAUGCAGCGUCGCCGCGGGGGGGCUGCAGGCUUUAGGGUUGUAAACCUCGUUCGCUAUAGAACGGGUAGGUGGAGAAGAAGCGCCGGCUAACUACGUGCCAGCAGCCGCGGUAAUAC
rnacentral:rRNA from 1 species